AUUGAACGCUGGCGGCAGGCCUAACACAUGCAAGUCGAGCGGAUGAGUGGAGCUUGCUCCAUGAUUCAGCGGCGGACGGGUGAGUAAUGCCUAGGAAUCUGCCUGGUAGUGGGGGACAACGUUUCGAAAGGAACGCUAAUACCGCAUACGUCCUACGGGAGAAAGUGGGGGAUCUUCGGACCUCACGCUAUCAGAUGAGCCUAGGUCGGAUUAGCUAGUUGGUGAGGUAAAGGCUCACCAAGGCGACGAUCCGUAACUGGUCUGAGAGGAUGAUCAGUCACACUGGAACUGAGACACGGUCCAGACUCCUACGGGAGGCAGCAGUGGGGAAUAUUGGACAAUGGGCGAAAGCCUGAUCCAGCCAUGCCGCGUGUGUGAAGAAGGUCUUCGGAUUGUAAAGCACUCUAAGUUGGGAGGAAGGGCAGUAAGUUAAUACCUUGCUGUUUUGACGUAACCAACAGAAUAAGCACCGGCUAACUUCGUGCCAGCCGCCGCCGUAAAAC
rnacentral:rRNA from 1 species